GACGAACGCUGGCGGCGUGCUUAACACAUGCAAGUCGAACGGAAAGGCCCUGCUUUUGUGGGGUGCUCGAGUGGCGAACGGGUGAGUAACACGUGAGUAACCUGCCCUUGACUUUGGGAUAACUUCAGGAAACUGGGGCUAAUACCGGAUAGGAGCUCCUGCUGCAUGGUGGGGGUUGGAAAGUUUCGGCGGUUGGGGAUGGACUCGCGGCUUAUCAGCUUGUUGGUGGGGUAGUGGCUUACCAAGGCUUUGACGGGUAGCCGGCCUGAGAGGGUGACCGGCCACAUUGGGACUGAGAUACGGCCCAGACGCCGACGGGAGGCAGCAGUGGGGAAUAUUGCACAAUGGGCGGAAGCCUGAGGCAGCAACGCCGCGUGCGGGAUGACGGCCUUCGGGUUGUAAACCGCUGUCGCCUGUGACGAAGCGUGAGUGACGGUAAUGGGUAAAGAAGCACCGGCUAACUACGUG
rnacentral:rRNA from 1 species